CAUAAAAACCCUUAAAAAUCACAGAAUUGGAAAUACCAAAUUUUAAACCAUAGAAAAUUGUAUUAUUUCAACCUUAAACCUCUAUCUCUUUCUAACUCAUUUAUCUUAGGAGAGAUACAUGGUGCUACAUUAUUACCAAUAGUUUCUGUGGAUCUGUGACAGAUAAUAACCAUAGAUUAACACCGUUUUGACAGUGGGACCAAAGAAAAGGUUAUAUUUACAUAUUUCUGACAAUAUGGGCUGUUAUUUAUUCAUGCACCACCUGCGGGGAGGCCACUGGUUGGCAACAACAAGGAAAACCUAUGUGAACAAAACCAACAAAACUACCCUAAUCCAAUCAUUUGCAACCCACUAUCUACUCUCCCCUCUUGGGAAUGAUCUUAAAAAUGAUAAGUUAGGCGCAAUAAAAUAAACCUGUAACAAA